rnacentral:sRNA from 1 species
GGGAGAAUGGCAUGAACCCAGGAGAUGGAGCUUGCAGUGAGCCGAGAUUGCGCCACUGCACUCCAGCCUGGGUGACAGUGCGAGACUCCGUCUCAAAAAAAAAAAAAAAAAAUGUAAACUGGGCUCCAGCUGACUCCUCACAUUCCCGCCUCCCGCUUCAGUGGUGUUUCCCCAGGAUCUGCUGGAGAAAGGCCUCGAAGCAAACAACUUUGCCAUGCUGGGACUUGGAGAUGUCGUCAUUCCAGGGAUCUUCAUUGCCUUGCUGCUGCGCUUUGACAUCAGCUUGAAGAAGAAUACCCACACCUACUUCUACACCAGCUUUGCAGCCUACAUCUUCGGCCUGGGCCUUACCAUCUUCAUCAUGCACAUCUUCAAGCAUGCUCAGCCUGCCCUCCUAUACCUGGUCCCCGCCUGCAUCGGUUUUCCUGUCCUGGUGGCGCUGG